UACUAUAUGUUUUCUUUUCUAUAGAAAAGAAAAAAAAAUGAUGCGGAGCCAAAAAUGGUACCAUUGACAGUUCUAGUGUUAAGGUAUAAUAUGAAAGAAUCACUUAAUAAUGUUUAUAUACUUAAUGUAAAAGUGAUGAAAAUUAAUCCAAGACACGAACGACCCAUCGUAUGUAUAAUAGAGGAUUAGAAUAUUACCGCGUACACUGAGGCUUAAUUCCAUCAUCACGCAAAUUGCAUUAUUGCAUUUAUCCUAAUUUCAUAAGCAAUUGAAAAAAAUCUUUGUUGGAAAAAAGCGUAAAUGUUUCGAGUGCAGAAAAAUUAACGCUUGGUGUACACGCAGUCGCGUUACAAUACGCUAUUUCCACGCUAAUGACUGCCAUCCGCGUUUGCUACCAAAAUAGCACAUUAUUAGGGCACUCUGCAUACGGCUUAAAAUCCCAUAGUAUAUUUAAAGAUGAGUUACCUAGUAGAUAUUCGUUGUUUUAAAAUCGUUCGCGAACGCAUUCGGAAAAUGUCAAGACUCGAUUUCGCGCAAAAGAGGUGGAGAACCAAGAAUAGCGCUCUACUUGUCUGAGGUUUUGUCCGCGUUUCUCCUUUUAAUCAAGAAUGAUCAUUAGCGGCCCGGCGGUGAACAAAGGCGAAUUGCAUCGUGAGGAAGAAAAAAGACGAUAAAACUUAACUUUGACCCUUCCUUUGGCGAUGCGUUUAACUAUGCCGCUUCCUCUUAGAACGAUACAUAUUACCGGUCACCCUAUCAGUCAUUAACUUUGUUAACCGCCGUACCACGAAUAAUCAAACUAACCGUCGGGCGCAGAGAAACUUCCUACGGGACGAUAAACGACGAUAAAUAACGAGCGUGUCGCGAAAAUCGAUUUUCCAACGAAGACAGGAAGUUUUUGCGAUACCGUACUUCGAGUAGACGCCAAGCGCACGGAGCUCCGACGUUCCGCGCAAAACGGCAAUUUCCAUUCUGGACUUAAAUUAUCAUUCGCCCCACACGCGACUUUGGCGCGACAUUAAUAUUUAACGUGUUCGAAACACGCUAUGGCAAGAAGUCUCUAAUAGGGAGUCUCUCUCUCUCUCUUUCUCUCUCUCUCUCGCUCUCGCUCUCGCUCUCGCAAAUAUACAGUGAACGCAGUUGAUGCUUUUCGUACUCUCAUCUUAGAUUUAUAUCAUUGUUCAUCUUGAUGCGAUACUAACGUUUUGUAUGCUCAGAGAGAAUGUUGCUAUCGCCAAAGUAUUCUAUCAUUAGGGCAUUUAAAUACGAGAGAGGGUAUUUAAAUUCGAGAACGCGAUCCAUCACGUCACGUUACCGCGGUCGCUCUGUGCUCGCCGGGAACGGCGAAUACGUUGCCUCAGGGAGAAAGAGUACGUGUGUUCAAUAGCGAAAAAAAAAAACGGAGAAUAUAUAUAAAGAAA